CGAGAAGGAGAAGGAGGAGAAAGAGGAGGAGCAGAUCCCUGUGUGUUAGUCUGUUCCACACAGAAUGUUCUGGGUCAGAGGAAACUAGUUUGUGUUGCUCAAGCUGUCAGAAACACAGAUAUUUUGGUUCUGGGUGAAGCCACAUCAGCCAUCGUCUGCGAGAUGGACAAACACAUCCAGACCACAAGCUGCAGUCAGUUCAACUACUAACCAUCGCUCACCGCCUCGGCACCAUUAUGGACUACACAUGUGUGUUAGCGAUGGAGUGAGGUUGCAUCAGGGAAAUUACAUCAUCAUCAUAAUCCGCAUCACCAAUCUUCUGAGUUGAUCUUGAGUAGGGGAAACAAAAUGAAGACUCACAGAUACAUACCAAUGCGUUGGCUGCCGAGUGAAACCAGGAAGCGGUCUCCGCGUCGAGGUGGCAGAUCAGAGCUGGUGAUGACCACUGUGUCUGGACCCAUAUUAUGGAGCAG